GACGAACGCUGGCGGCGUGCCUAAUACAUGCAAGUCGAGCGGACGGAAGGAAGCUUGCUUCCUAAAGUCAGCGGCGGACGGGUGAGUAACACGUGGGCAACCUGCCCCUAAGAUCGGGAUAACUUCGGGAAACCGGAGCUAAUACCGGAUAUGAUUAUGUCUCACAUGAGACAUAAUGGAAAGACGGUUUCGGCUGUCACUUAGGGAUGGGCCCGCGGCGCAUUAGCUAGUUGGUGAGGUAACGGCUCACCAAGGCGACGAUGCGUAGCCGACCUGAGAGGGUGAUCGGCCACACUGGGACUGAGACACGGCCCAGACUCCUACGGGAGGCAGCAGUAGGGAAUCUUCCGCAAUGGACGAAAGUCUGACAGAGCAACGCCGCGUGAGUGAAGAAGGUUUUCGGAUCGUAAAACUCUGUUGUUAGGGAAGAACAAGUACCAUAGUAACUGAUGGUACCUUGACGGUACCUAACCAGAAAGCCACGGCUAACUACGUGCCAGCCGCCGCUGUAAGAC
rnacentral:rRNA from 1 species